rnacentral:misc_RNA from 1 species
GAUGAAGAACGCAGCGAAAUGCGAUAAGUAGUGUGAAUUGCAGAAUUCAGUGAAUCAUCGAAUCUUUGAACGCACAUUGCGCCCUUUGGUAUUCCAAAGGGCAUGCCUGUUCGAGCGUCAUUUGUACCCUCAAGCUUUGCUUGGUGUUGGGCGUCUUGUCUCUAGCUUUGCUGGAGACUCGCCUUAAAGUAAUUGGCAGCCGGCCUACUGGUUUCGGAGCGCAGCACAAGUCGCACUCUCUAUCAGCAAAGGUCUAGCAUCCAUUAAGCCUUUUUUUUCAACUUUUGACCUCGGAUCAGGUAGGGAUACCCGCUGAACUUAAGCAUAUCAAUAAGCGGAGA